CGGGAUUGCCAAAAAAAAGCGCAGUAUCCAUUCUCAUUUCUCAGUCUCUGGUUCUGGGUCUUUCUUCGCUGCAUCUUCUUGAAUCUAUUCAGGAGUUGCAGGUUGCUGGGAUUUGCAGUCCUCAGUGGUGGUUCUUUCGCUGUUCGUAGCUGUGCGAUCGCCCCGUCUCUUUGCAGCGGGGUUUUGUUUCGUUCUCAUUUGAAGCGGUUCCUCGUCGCGGUAUGGGGUUUCUUUUUGGGGUUCCGGUUGGGGUUUUCUGCUAGCUAAGGCUGGUUGCAGGUUGGCUCCUUUCUGCUUGAGGUUUUCCGAUUGGGUCUUUCCAUGGAUUGGGGGUCUGACUGGUCAGUCUCGGUUGGGGGUCCUUUAAUUGAGGCCGAUCUGUGUGUUGGGAGUUCUGUUCGAUGGUCGCUCGCUGGUAGGAUAAUUCUGAUUGAGGUCCCGUUUGUUGACCGCGGAGUGUGUUCUCUGAUGGUGUUUUCUACAUUGCGAGAUGGGUCUCCUUAAUUGGGGUCCGUUUGGGGUCUUCUUUUAGCAAGGUUGUUCGCAGGUGUUAUGUUUUCUCUGGGUGGCUCUCCCCUGCUACAAAUCAAUUGUUUUUUCUGCUCGAAUUUGCUGCUGGUUCAUGCGUGAGGUGGUGUUUGAUGUGAUCUAAAGCUGGACCUGGCAUUUCCUGCUAUGAUCAUUUUUUAUCCUUACGCGUGAUGGAUCGGAAGCUGUUCGGUGUGAAUUUUCAAUAGGUUUUUGUGUGGAAGCAGGUUGGAUUUUCUGUAUUGGAGUCUGCUCGGUUGAUUGAUUUUCACGUCUCUUUCUGGGUUGCAGGACGCUCGCUUGAGUCCAUGGUAACUUCUGUUUCGUGCAAGGUUUCCGACGGUGGACGAGUUGAGGCAGACUGGCUCCUCAGAUUUAGUGCUCAGCACAUAGGUUGUGUUCUCUGGUCCGGGGUUCUCUCGAAAUGGGUCUGUUCGCGGAGAGGUGGAUCCGAUUGAUCAUUCCGGUUGGGGGGAUCCUUGAUUGGGUUCUGUCCGUGUGCUGGGGUUUCUGCUCGAUCGCUGGUUGGGAUCCUUGAAUUGGGUUUCCGAUUGAAGUGGGUUUUCUGAUUGGGUUUUGAUUCAGUUUCAGAUUUGGUGGGUGGUGUCCAGAUCUGGAUCGUUCUGGUGCUCCAAGUCAACCAGCUGAUCUCCUGCCAGCUUGAAGGUUUUCCUCGUGGAUACUUUCGUGGUGGGUUUCCGAUUGGUGGGGCCCAGUUGAUCCUGGGUGUUCGUGGCUGAUUUGCCCUGUUUUGAAAAUUUAAAUUUGAAUUUUCGUUGCAUUCUGCCUUGACGGAUAAAUUCUAUCAGCAGUCUAAUAAAUUACUGUUUACAGUUGGAUCAAUUAAAAUUUUAUUUUUAUUCUUUACGAGAAUCAUUCUUUAUAGCCCAUAAAUUUUCAAAUAUGCCCUCAUAGUCACAGCCACACCAUUUCUCAUAUUUCUCAAUCAAACCCUAAUAAUCGCUGGCCAUUGUUUUGAGAGGAAGAAGAAAUCUAGACUGCAAAAUCAGCAUGGCAUGUACUCGAGGGAGAGGAGUAAAGGGAGCUUGCCUAUAUUCAUCUCAUCAGCAUCCGACAGCUUCCACAAGAAGGAGAAGGGUAGAGGGUCAUGAUGAUCGUUUUGUAGAUACAUCUAUCUCAAAGUCAGUGACGCACAUUUCAGAGCAGUCAGGAAAGAGGUGUAUUGAGGUGCAAUAGCCAUGGACAAAGAAUUCCUGAUUGGCCAUUGACAAAUCAGCAACGUAUUCAUGAUGUUAUCGUAAGAUCUCGAUUGGCAUCUUUGAUAUAAUGCACGUAUUGAUUUGUGAAUCCUACAGUCGUGUCAGUCUUUUCAGAGAGAUGGCAGCCAGAGACUAACACAUUUCAUCUACUAUUUGGUGAGAUGACAGUCACGCUAGAUGACGUUGCUACUAUUCUGAAGAUACCAGUUGCUGGCAGCCCUGUAUCAGUCCCUCAUUUGACAAAUAAUGAAGCUCAGAACUUACUAUGUUGAUUACUUGGGGUCUCGGUAGUAAAAACAAUAGGCCAGAUAGUGGAGACUCGGGGAUCGUAUGUAAAAUUAGAUUGACUGAGAAUAACGUUUAUGAACGUACCAAAUUCAGCUCCGGAUGAAGAGAUCUACAAUGUUA